rnacentral:rRNA from 1 species
UACGUAGGCAGCAAGCGUUGUUCGGAGUUACUGGGCGUAAAGGGUGCGUAGGUGGCUCUAUAAGUAUGGUGUGAAAUCUCCCGGCUUAACUGGGAGGGUGCGCUACAAACUGUCUGACUAGAGUGUGGGAUGGGUAAGUGGAAUUCCUGGUGUAGCGGUGAAAUGCGUAGAUAUCAGGAGGAACACCGGUGGUGUAGACGGCUUACUGGACCAUAACUGACGCUGAGACACGAAAGCGUGGGUAGCAAACAGG